rnacentral:rRNA from 1 species
CCUACGGGUGGCAGCAGUAGGGAAUCUUCCACAAUGGGCGCAAGCCUGAUGGAGCAAUGCCGCGUGGGUGAAGAAGGUCUUCGGAUCGUAAAACCCUGUUGUCAGAGAAGAAAGUGCGUGAGAGUAACUGUUUACGCUUCGACGGUACCUAACCAGAAAGCCACGGCUAACUACGUGCCAGCAGCCGCGGUAAUACGUAGGUGGCAAGCGUUAUCCGGAUUUAUUGGGCGUAAAGCGAACGCAGGCGGUCUUUUAAGUCUGAUGUGAAAGCCUUCGGCUUAACCGGGGUAGUGCAUUGGAGACUGGGAGACUUGAGUGCAGAAGAGGGGAGUAGAACGCCAUGUGUAGCGGUGAAAUGCGUAGAGAUAUGGAAGAACACCAGUGGCGAAAGCGGCUCUCUGGUCGGUAACUGACGCUGAGGUGCGAAAGCGUGGGUAGCAAACAGGAUUAGAUACCCGAGUAGUC